rnacentral:rRNA from 1 species
GACGAACGCUGGCGGCGUGCUUAACGCAUGCAAGUCGAACGGAAAGGCCCUGCUUUUGUGGGGUGCUCGAGUGGCGAACGGGUGAGUAACACGUGAGUAACCUGCCCUUGACUUUGGGAUAACUUCAGGAAACUGGGGCUAAUACCGGAUAGGAGCUCCUGCUGCAUGGUGGGGGUUGGAAAGUUUCGGCGGUUGGGGAUGGACUCGCGGCUUAUCAGCUUGUUGGUGGGGUAGUGGCUUACCAAGGCUUUGACGGGUAGCCGGCCUGAGAGGGUGACCGGCCACAUUGGGACUGAGAUACAGCCCAGACGCCUACGGGAGGCAGCAGUGGGGAAUAUUGCACAAUGGGCGGAAGCCUGAUGCAGCAACGCCGCGUGCGGGAUGACGGCCUUCGGGUUGUAAACCGCUUUCGCCUGUGACGAAGCGUGAGUGACGGUAAUGGGUAAAGAAGCACCGGCUAACUACGUG